GCGAAGCUGACCGGUUAUUUAGUGCCUCCGUUGAGGAGACUUUUACCAGCGUAAGGAGCUGGGGGAAUAAAGGGGGGGCAAGACUGGUGUCAGCCGCCGCGGUAAUACCAGCUCCCUGAGUGAUAGGGGCGAUUGUUUAGCCUAAAGCGUCCGUAGCCGGCUCAGCAAGUCUUUCGUUAAAUCUGACGAUUUAAUCGUUAGGCCGCGGGAGAUACUGCUAGGCUAGAGGGCGGGAGAGGUUGACGGUAGUCCCGGGGUAGGGGUGAAAUCCUAUAAUCCUGGGAGGACCACCAGUGGCGAAGGCGGUCAACUAGAACGCGCCUGACGGUGAGGGACGAAAGCUGGGGGAGCGAACCGGAUUAGACACCCGGGUAGUCCCAGCUGUAAACGAUGCGAGCUAGUGUGUUUGGGUCAGCCACGAGUUGCCCCGGUGCCGCAGAGAAGUCGUUAAGCUCGCCGUUUGGGAAGUACGGCCGCAAGGCUGAAACUUAAAGGAAUUUGGCGGGGGAGCACCACAAGGGGUGAAGCCUGCAGGUUCAAUUGGAGUCAACGCCGGAAAACUUACUAGGGCUGACAGCAGGGUGAAGGCCAGACUAAAGAUCUUGCCAGACAAGCUGAGAGGUGGCGCAUGGCCGUCGACAGUUCGUGCCGUGAGGUGUCCUGUUAAGUCAGGCAACGAACGAGAUCCCCGCCGUUAGUUACCAGCAGGUUCCAACGGAAUGCUGGGUACGCUAACGGGACUGCCGCCGACAAGCGGAGGAGGGAGGGGGCAACGGCAGGUCAGUAUGCCCCGAAUGCCCUAGGCUACACGCGGGCUGCAAUGGUAGGGACAGAGGGUUCUGACCUCGAAAGGGGAAAGUAAUCCCUAAACCCUAUCGUAGUUGGGAUUGAGGGCUUAAACUCGCCGUCAUGAACAUGAAUCCCUAUAAACGCGGUCAUCGCGCGUAUACUC
rnacentral:rRNA from 1 species